GAAAACCGUGGACAUAUAAACAACUUAAAUGUAUAAGUAUAUGCCACGAACCUAUCUAAUAACCUCUACCAACGAUACGAUUUUAUUCAUUUCAAAUGUAAAACUGGUUGAUUGUGAUCGUGAGCGCUUGAGACAAUUGGAAAAUAUCGCGAAAAUUUCUAGAAACAAAUCGCAUUGGAUGAUGUGGCAAAAGAAUAGCAUAAGAACGAAGACGUCUGUAUCUGGGCUCUUUAUUAGGACACUGUCACAUGACUGAGACGCGUGAUUUGCAUGAAGUAGCAUUCUGGUGUCAGCCUCUUCAUGGUCACAAGAUAAUGUCGCUAUUUCUUGAACGAUAAUGGGUCCACUAUCAAUUCCUGGUUUAAGGCGAUGGCACUUGUCGUCAUGGCAAACGUAAACCACAAUACCAUUAAACAUCGUCGAUUUGUAUGUACACCACUGCUCAAAUAAAAAGCGAAUAAGUGCUUCUUUGUUUCCACCA